rnacentral:rRNA from 1 species
UAUCAAUAAGCGGAGGAAAAGAAACUAACCAGGAUUCCCCUAGUAACGGCGAGUGAACAGGGAUUAGCCCAGCACCGAAGCCCGCGUCCGUUUGGGCGUUGGGCAAUGUGGUGUUUAGGUUUUGUGCGUUGGGGUGUUGCUCCGUUCCAAGUCCAAUCAUGAAUAUGGCUUUAGCAUGGCCCAGAGAGGGUGAAAGGCCCGUGUGGACGGAGUGGCGCUCUACUGCCCUGACUUUGGAGUCGGGUUGUUUGAGAAUGCAGCCCAAAGUUGGUGGUAAACUCCAUCUAAGGCUAAAUACUGGCACGAGUCCGAUAGCGAACAAGUACCGUGAGGGAAAGUUGAAAAGUACUCUGAAGAGAGAGUUAACAGUGCGUGAAACCGCUUAGAGGCAAACGGGUGUAGUCAAGCUGCAAGCUUUUUGAAAUAGGUGGGCCAGAAUGGCGUGAGUCUGAGCACAUGGAGCUGGCAUUGGGGUGCGUCCGUAUGGGCGUGUUCGUUUCCUCACGGGAAUGGAUCUGUGAAGUGGCAUUCGUCGCUGCAGGCCUCGGUGUCAGUUGCUCUGCUGGCCCUCUCACUUUCUUUAAGCGUAUGUCACGACCGUCGUUGCUGUCGGUCUGCUUCGUCUAAACUGUACUAUGAGUAGUCUUGUGCUUCUCGUGGUAUGGGGGCAGGUAGCUGUGCAGUGGCCUUCGGGUCGUUGUGCAGUGUUAUUGCUGGGCGAAGUGGUACCUGUAACUGUGCAGUGCGGCGGGGCUGGCGGUGCAUUGGUUUCCGGGCGUGCUAAAACAUGUUGGCGUGACGUGGGUCUGGCUGCUUGUUGCUGUCUCUGAUAGCCUUGUGGCGGCUCUGUUGCGGUUUAGCGUGUGGCUGCGUCUGGGCAUUCUUUGCGUUGUGCCAAUAGUCUGUGGCGUAGUGGUAGACGAUCCACCCGACCCGUCUUGAAACACGGACCAAGGAGUUUAACAUGUGCGCGAGUCAAUGAGUAGUGCUUAGCAUACGAAACUCAAAGGCGCAGUGAAAGUAAAGGGUGGCCUUGUGUUACCUUAGGUGAGAUCCUGCCAUUUCUCUUGCACUUUGAUCAGACACUUGAGUGGUAGGCGCAUCACCGGCCCGUCCCAUGGUGUAGUUGGGCUUGCCUAGCGGCACCGGGGCGGAGCAAGAGCGUACAUGUUGAGACCCGAAAGAUGGUGAACUAUGCUUGCGCAGGUUGAAGCCGGAGGAAACUCUGGUGGAGGACCGUAGCGAUUCUGACGUGCAAAUCGAUCGUAUGACGUGAGUAUAGGGGCGAAAGACUAAUCGAACCAUCUAGUAGCUGGUUCCCUCCGAAGUUUCCCUCAGGAUAGCUGGUGCUCGUAAUUUUGAAACAGUUUUAUCCGGUAAAGCGAAUGAUUAGAGGUCUUGGUGCCUAAAUGGCGUCAACCUAUUCUCAAACUUUAAAUGGGUGAGAAGCUGGGCUCGCUUAAUUGGAGUCUGGCCGUCGAAUGUGAGUGCCAAGUGGGCCAUUUUUGGUAAGCAGAACUGGCGCUGUGGGAUGAACCAAACGCCUGGUUAAGGUGCCUAACACGACGCUCAUGAGAUACCACAAAAGGUGUUGGUUGAUAUAGACAGCAGGACGGUGGCCCUGGUAGUCGGAAUCCGCUAAGGAGUGUGUAACAACUCACCUGCCGAAUCAACCAGCCCUGAAAAUGUAUGGCGCUGGAGCGUCGGACCUAUACCGGGCCGGCUGUGCAAGCCGAGCUCAAAAUGUGUUGCUUGAGAGUUAUACUGCAUGGCUCGGGCAUGAAUGUGCAGCCGAGUAGGAGGGUCGCCGUGGUGAGCUGAGAAGCUUCGGGCGUGAGUCCAGGUGGAGCCGCCACGGGUGCAGAUCUUGGUGGUAGUAGCAAUUAUUCAAGUGAGAACCUUGAAGGCCGAAGUGCAGAAGGGUUCCAUGGGAACAGCAGUUGGCCAUGGGUCAGGCGGUCCUAAGUGAAGCGGUAAUUCGCUAUGCAGACGGGGUGACGGGCAAAUGAAAGCCUCGACUUUGGUUGUACCAGAUUAUUGGCAGCCCCCCGGAUCGAAAGGGAAUCGGGUUAAUAUUCCCGACCCUGCUCACGGAGAUUGACUUACAGCCUCUCGGGGUUGUCUAGUCUAGCGCGGUAACGCAACCGACCCUGGAUACGUCGGCGAGAGCUCUGGGAAGAGUUUUCUUUUCUUUGUUAAGAGUGCACCGACCCUGGAAUCGAAUUGUUCGGAGAUAGGGUUAACGCCUCUGUAAAGCACCACCCUUCUUGUGGUGUCCGGAACACUCUCGCCGUCCCUUGAAAAUCCAGGCAAGGCAAUAUAAUUUUCGUGGCAGGCCGUACCCAUAUCCGCAUCAGGUCUCCAAGGUGAACAGCCUCUGGCUAUUGAACAAUGUAGGUAAGGGAAGUCGGCAAAUUAGAUCCGUACCUUCGGAAAAAGGAUUGGCUCUGAGGGCCGUGCUGUGCGGAGUCUUACUUGACCCAGCUAGCAAACGCCGGGA